rnacentral:rRNA from 1 species
CCUACGGGAGACAGCAGUGGGGAAUAUUGGGCAAUGGGCGCAAGCCUGACCCAGCAACGCCGCGUGAAGGAAGAAGGCUUUCGGGUUGUAAACUUCUUUUCUCAGGGACGAAGCAAGUGACGGUACCUGAGGAAUAAGCCACGGCUAACUACGUGCCAGCAGCCGCGGUAAUACGUAGGUGGCAAGCGUUAUCCGGAUUUACUGGGUGUAAAGGGCGUGUAGGCGGGAAAGCAAGUCAGAUGUGAAAACCAUGGGCUCAACCUGUGGCCUGCAUUUGAAACUGUUUUUCUUGAGUACUGGAGAGGCAGACGGAAUUCCUAGUGUAGCGGUGAAAUGCGUAGAUAUUAGGAGGAACACCAGUGGCGAAGGCAGCUUACUAAGCCAUAACUGACACUGAAGCACGAAAGCGUGGGGAUCAAACAGGAUUAGAUACCCUUGUAGUC